rnacentral:rRNA from 1 species
UACGUAGGCAGCAAGCGUUGUUCGGAAUUAUUGGGCGUAAAGAGCUCGUAGGCGGUGUGUCGCGUCGGCCGUGAAAACCUGGGGCUCAACUCUGGCGUGCGGUCGAUACGGGCAUCACUUGAGUUCGGCAGGGGAGACUGGAAUUCCUGGUGUAGCGGUGAAAUGCGCAGAUAUCAGGAGGAACACCGGUGGCGAAGGCGGGUCUCUAGUACGGUACUGACGCUGAGACGCGAAAGCGUGGGGAGCGAACAGG